AGAGACAGCCCUGGAGCCCGUGCACUGGCUGGUUUUUUUGUGAUGAAUGGGAGCAGAAACGACUAAUAAAUUUGAUGUGAUUGAAUCAUCACCCCUGAACCUCGACUCCA